rnacentral:rRNA from 1 species
AUUGAACGCUGGCGGCAGGCCUAACACAUGCAAGUCGAACGAGUGGCGGACGGGUGAGUAAUGUCUGGGAAACUGCCUGAUGGAGGGGGCUAACUACUGGAAACGGUAGCUAAUACCGCAUACCAUCGGAGGUGCCCAGAUGGGAUUAGCUAGUGGGUGGGUUAAAGGCUCACCUAGGCGACGAUCCCUAGCGGGUCUGAGAGGAUGACCAGCAAAACGGGAACUGAGACACGGUCCAGACGCCUACGUGAGGCAGCAUGGGGGAAUAUUGCACAAUGGGCGCAAGCCUGAUGCAGCCAUGCCGCGUGUAUGAAGAAGGCCUUCGGGUUGUAAAGUACUUUCAGCGGGGAGGCGUUACCCGCAGAAGAAGCACCGGCUAACUCCGUGCCAGCAGCCGCGGUAAUAC